GGGUGACGUCACUGGUGACGCGCCACUUCACUGAGUCAGGGUCGCCACACAGCGCAAUCCUCCCACCCGCCACCACCAGCCUUCCAUUCUUACACCAUCUAACGAAACUAGUUUGUGGCAGCGACGUACUCGAUCACAUAUAAGGCGGCUCCCACUACUGACCAGACACAGUACAACUCCGACACCAGAUCAGUGAUGGCUGUGUCGCAGAGCUGUGUGGUGGUGAGGCGUGAGGGAGGCUCCCUUGACGGGUCCUGCCCCUGGUGACGGCAACCUACGCCUCACCAGGGGCAGGACACAUUGCUCCUCUACUCAGACUGAUCUGCCCAGGCGACACAUGGCGAGGACCUCCUGUACUGUUGCUGCUGGUGACUCAAACUGACUCACCUCACGACGCACACAACGGCGUGAGGUGUUCCAACUACCACUAUGAUGUGACCACAGAGGCUACUACACCUGUAGUACAGCACCAACACCCGUGGUACACCACCUCCACCCGUGGUACAGCACCUCCACCCGUGGUACAACACCACCACCUGUGGUACAACAUCUCUACCCGCCACAGUCCACACGGGUGGUGCAGGAGUCAUGGGUGUUGUAGGUCCUGCGGCAGGUCUCCAACACCCCUGAAACACAGCAGGACUCCACCUCCUGCUCUACUCAGCGACUCCAGGCAGCCUCCAUCAGGAGGUCCUGACGACUCAGGACAUGUCAACGGCCCAUUUUACCCUCACCUCAGCUUGUGUUGUUGGCAUUAUACAAUAAGUAAAACUAACCAUUCAUUGUCUAACAUUACUAUAAUUCAUCAGAGUUUUAUAUAAACUAUACACUUGUAUUAAGUUUGUAUAAAGUAUAUUGCCAGAUGUGAGAUUCCUGUUUUAAGGAAACAAAUUUAACAUUACUACAUUUACCUCCCAUUGUUUCUGUAUAUUAUAUGUAUCAUUUCAUACAUAAAAGAACAAUAGAACAACAGUGAAUAAAAUCUUAAUAAAAAUG